AGACUUUCAAGAUGUCUUCUUCUUCAAAGCAGCCAUGGGAGAACCCGACUAACACUCUAAAAAACACAACAACAUACCGCCUGAACUUCACUCCAAACACCAAACCGCCGGCGGCCAACCUCAUCUCCUCAACAGUCCGCCACCGGAAACCAGCAACACAACACCCCUGAACCAAACAGUCGUCCAUCUCGCUCAGCACAGCAGCCGACCCCCACCUCUCUAUCUCUCUCUCAUUUCUGUCUCACUUCCAUCACCGGCAAAACUCGCCGAAAACAAGAGAGCAGUAGCUGCUCAGAAACGCACACAUAGGGGAGAAGAUUUGGUAAAAACAAAGAGAGGAUGAAAUCGUGAAAUAAAAAACAAAGUAUCUUCUUCUUCUAACGUUUCAAAUUUUCAAACAUGGAGUUUGAUCGAGUUCGAGGUGUCGUCCGCAGUGAGGUUCGUGAUCCCGUUUGAGUUUGAUUGUUGUUUCGAGGUUUGGUUGUAGCUUGCUCCAUUUUUGUGCGUGUAUAUACUUGAAAUCUCAUUAAAUGAAAGUUCAAUUCGAUUUGAUUUCUAUUCAUGUACUAUUGCUUUAACACAUUAACAGUUUUGGAAUACAUUAACAGUUUUGGUGUCAAACUCUAAACACAUAAUCAAAUUUCAAGUUGUUCUUUUGGUCUUGGAUUCCGAAACGGGUUGGAGUUAAAACAGGCGCUCAAUUGUUGGAGUCUUCAUCUGAGGUGCGGUCCAUCGGUUUCAUUCGGUUUGGAUUUGCUAUUUUGGACCCCAUUCACAGCUGCGUUAUUCUGUCCAUAGACGGAUCAACAUUAUAUUAAUUCAGGUUCAUCUCUUUUAUCUCGUUUAUUAAUUCAUUGAUACACUUGGUGUUCCCGUGAGUUCGAACCUGCAUUUUAGUUCUUGGUUAACUUCACUGUUACUUUGUUUAGUUUGCUUUCUGAAUGGUUGAAUUAAUGAGUCAUGAUUUGAAAACGGUUAGAUCUAUUCUCUACAUUUGAGAAUGUAAACAUGAAAAAAAUUGAAUAGAAAUGGCGACACUUUGAAGGAUUGGGUCGGGGAAAUAAUCCAUAAAAAAAUGGAAUUAGCUUUUAGUCAUAAACUGUGAAUCAAACUAAAUAUCAUUUUGUUUUAUUCCUAUUAUUUUAGUCGCUAGGAGCAUGCUUAGGCCGACAACAUUUGGGUAGGCAAGCCUUAGGGUUUUUGUUAGUUUCGAGGCGAUAGGUCGUUCCCUUAGUUAAAUUUAUCCGGGGAAUGCCCCGCGCAAUUUGUAUAUAUUUUCGGGGUAUGCCCCGAAGUAUUUGUAUUUGUAGGGCGAAAGUAGAAUUCGUAGCAUUUUUAUUUUUAUUUUCUUUUUUAAUGUUUCUUUUAUUAGGUGGGAACGACCUCAGCCCUCUUGUGUGAUUAUUUUUCUUUUUGUGUGUUUUUACCUCAAUUGAAUAUUUUAAAAGCUGACUAGAUCAAGUAUGCAACCGUACUAGUUAUGGGACUUGGGGAGUGCCUAACACCUUCUCUCCGAGUCAAAUGAACCCCCUUACCCGAAUUUAGACUUAGUUUUGAUCUCAAUUAUUUUGAAAGGAAAAAAUUAUUUUUAGAAAAAAAGUGACCUGACAUACCGAAAACAAAUGUCAGGUGGCGACUCUGAGUUAAUCCUUUUGAACACUAUCUUUUGUCACUUUCUAAUUGAAAAACCUUUUCAAGCUUUAAUUAAAUCUUUUAUUAAUUUAAGAGGUUUAGUGAAGUUUGUAUAAAAAGGGUGUGACAUCUCUGGCGAGUCUGUUGGGAAAUUGUAGGUUCGAGCUAGUACUUGAUCUUGUUGGCUUUGAGGAUAUUAGGUUGAGGUUUUUAUGUGUUUUGUUUGCUUUAUUUGAUUUUUAUUUUUCUUUAUGUCUUUUUAUUAUUUACUGGCUGCUUAUUUAUUUACAGUUUUUCUUUUAUGUGUUAUUGCUUCAUAAACCAUCAUCAUUUGCGUAACCAUGAGUCUUCUUUCUGCAACAAGUCUUCCGGAGUACGUUUGAGCGUACACGGCCUUUUUGUGAGUUACCCGUGUCUUUAGGGGGUGGCGUUGGAGCGUGGAGUGGGCAGACAGCUAGAGCAUCUGCCACCGACCACGUGCCGCCCCGAAUUGCCUUGUUAGUGAACCCCAAACGUAGGUCACCUUUAGGUCAUUUUUAUUUGCAUCAUGUCAUUUACACCUAGUAGGGCUUGGUCCCAGGCACCGUGUCCCUUUGUAGGAAACCUAUCCAAAUUUUGUCAAAAAUGGGCCCAUGGCCCAAAAAGACAAUCAUCCCUAUGUGAACAUGUGGCAUCUUUGAGGGUAAAAAGGCUAUUUGGCGGACCGAUGCUUGGAAAAGAGGGGUGAAAAAUGAAGCAAGUAGGACCCAAUUAUAUUUUUCUAUCACAACCUUUUCAGGAAAAAACCAAAAAAAAUUGAAAAUGAAAAUUCAAACAGAUUUGCACUUUUCCAUCAUUUUUCAAAAAAAUUAAAAAAAAGAGAGAGAAAAAAGAAAAUCCAAAAAAAGAGAUUUUACAUUUUCCAUCAUUUUUCAAAAAGACAAAAAUAGUUUUUCCAAAUUAGUUGCAUUUUUUAAAGCUUUCUCCCGUGUCCGGUCUUCCUAGCAAGUCUUAGGUUCUUGACUUUGCGGGGUCUUAGCCAUAUCUUGCAUGUUUAGCCACUUUUGGCCACAUCGGCCAUUCUUGCAAAAUGGGGUCAUUUUCGCAAAAGUAGUUCAAUUACCCAUGUCUUAGGAUCUUUGGCCACUUCUGGCCAUAUCGGUCGUUUUGCAAAAUGGGCCAUUUCUACAAAUUGANNNNNNNNNNNNNNNNNNNNAAUAGCCUUAAUCAUGCCUUGCAUGUGUCCAAUAGAAGGUGUUGUGGCAUUGCAUGUGUCUUGAGUUACUAACUCUAUUUGAUCUUAUUUUUUCCAUUCAGGUAUGGAGCAAUUUGCUAGAGUUUGAGCAUGACAAAUACCCUAGGACCAUUCUAGUUAAGACCAUUGCAUGCACGAGCUGUUUGACGAAACUUUUUAUAUUUUAGUCUAUCUUAUGUUGUCUUUUAAUUUUAGUCUUGUACAGAAGUAUCGAGU
rnacentral:lncRNA from 1 species